rnacentral:rRNA from 1 species
AGGCGGGUGCUAUAAUGCAAGUCGAGCGAACAGACGAGGAGCUUGCUCCUUUGCGUUAGCGGCGGACGGGUGAGUAACAGUGGGUAACCUACCUAUAAGACUGGGAUAACUUCGGGAAACCGGAGCUAAUACCGGAUAAUAUUUCGAACCGCAUGGUUCGAUAUGAAAGAUGGCUUUGCUAUCACUUAUAGAUGGACCUGCGCCGUAUUAGCUAGUUGGUAAGGUAACGGCUUACCAAGGCAACGAUACGUAGCCGACCUGAGAGGGUGAUCGGCCACACUGGAACUGAGACACGGUCCAGACUCCUACGGGAGGCAGCAGUAGGGAAUCUUCCGCAAUGGGCGAAAGCCUGACGGAGCAACGCCGCGUGAGUGAUGAAGGUCUUCGGAUCGUAAAACUCUGUUAUUAGGGAAGAACAAACGUGUAAUAACUGUGCACGUCUUGACGGUACCUAAUCAGAAAGCCACGGCUAACUACGUGCCAGCAGCCGCGGUAAUACGUAGGUGGCAAGCGUUAUCCGGAAUUAUUGGGCGUAAAGCGCGCGUAGGCGGUUUUUUAAGUCUGAUGUGAAAGCCCACGGCUCAACCGUGGAGGGUCAUUGGAAACUGGAAAACUUGAGUGCAGAAGAGGAAAGUGGAAUUCAUGUGUAGCGGUGAAAUGCGCAGAGAUAUGGAGGAACACCAGUGGCGAAGGCGACUUUCUGGUCUGUAACUGAGCUGAUGUGCGAAAGCGUGGGGAUCAAACAGGAUUAGUACCCUGGUAGUCCACGCCGUAAACGAUGAGUGCUAGUGUUAGGGGGUUUCCGCCCCUUAGUGUGCAGCU